ensembl:misc_RNA Metazoa_SRP Metazoan signal recognition particle RNA
GCCAGGUGUGGUGGCGCACACCUGUGGUCCCAGCUACUUGGGAGGCUGAGGCGGCAGGAUCACUUGAGCCCUGGAGCUCUAGCCUGCAGUGAGCAGUGAUUGUACCACUGCACUCAAGCCUGGGCGACAGAGUAAGACUUUGUCUCCU